rnacentral:lncRNA from 1 species
AUAAUUUAUCCUUUGUUUAUUUUAUCUUUGAUGGUAAAUACGAGUAUUUGAUAGCUAAUACAUUUCUCAAAAUAUUAAAUUUAAUAUAUUUAAAAGAUAAUAGUAAUUAUUUAUGAUUUCUUAAGAUGUGUGCUAAAUCAAUAGUGAAUAACUAUUGUUGGAAAAAGAGAGUAUUAAAUGAAGAACUAUGCAUGAUUUUACACAUUUGUUAGCCG